CCCUUAGAUGUUCUGGGCCGCACGCGCGCUACACUGACCAGUGCAACAAGCAUCCGUCCUUGGCCGACAGGCUCGGGCAAUCUUUGAACGCUGGUCGUGAUGGGGAUAGACUUUUGCAAUUUUUGGUCUUCAACGAGGAAUUCCUAGUAAACGCAAGUCAUCAACUUGCAUUGAUUACGUCCCUGCCCUUUGUACACACCGCCCGCCGCACCUACCGAUUGAAUGGUCCGGUGAAGCCUCCGGAUUGGCGCGCACCUCGGUGCCGCCGAGAAGUUGGCUAAACCUUACCAUUUAGAGGAAGGUGAAGUCGUAACA
rnacentral:rRNA from 1 species